UACGAAGGGGGCUAGCGUUGUUCGGAUUUACUGGGCGUAAAGCGCACGUAGGCGGAUUGUUAAGUCAGGGGUGAAAUCCUGGAGCUCAACUCCAGAACUGCCUUUGAUACUGGCAAUCUAGAGUCCGGAAGAGGUGAGUGGAACUCCUAGUGUAGAGGUGGAAUUCGUAGAUAUUAGGAAGAACACCAGUGGCGAAGGCGGCUCACUGGUCCGGUACUGACGCUGAGGUGCGAAAGCGUGGGGAGCA
rnacentral:rRNA from 1 species